UGUACCAACCACUUACGAUCGUGUUUCGGGAUUCUAUGAUGUGGUCAGCCAUCUAACGGUAUUUUAUAUCCAUGGAAAAGGAUAUUUUAUUUUGUACGUCCACUGCAUGUACACUCUCCCCCUCCAUUAAAAAAAGCUACGCGGGCAGAUAGAUCAAAAUUUCCCCUUACUGUGUGUCUAAUAGAGUUUAAUGUAUGUCUAUUCGGACAUAGAAAACCUCAAAUGGGAACAACAAAU